UACGAAGGGGGCUAGCGUUGCUCGGAAUUACUGGGCGUAAAGGGAGCGUAGGCGGACAUUUAAGUCAGGGGUGAAAUCCCAGAGCUCAACUCUGGAACUGCCUUUGAUACUGGAUGUCUUGGGUGUGAGAGAGGUAUGUGGAACUCCGAGUGUAGAGGUGAAAUUCGUAGAUAUUCGGAAGAACACCAGUGGCGAAGGCGACAUACUGGCUCAUUACUGACGCUGAGGCUCGAAAGCGUGGGGAGCAAACAGG
rnacentral:rRNA from 1 species